GUGCUUUGCGAUUUGGGUGCCGAUGGCCAGCGGCGUCUUCGUGGAGAUAUUUCGCUCGGUUUCUUCCUUCUCUAUGUUCUCUCCGCGUGUCCCGUGCUCUCUCGAUCCUCUCAUCUCUUCUCGAGGGCUCCCGUCGAAUCCGGUGCCACCGCCCACCGUCGUAGGUGACUAUAAAAAGAUCCUUCUCCCCGACGGUCCCUACCUCAACUCCUUCCCACCCCAUCCCUCUGCUCCGCCCCCGCCAUCUUCUCUCGGUGUGGCCAUAUGGCAUAUGGGAAGCGGGCAUGGAGGGCAUGGCUGGGGCGGGGCCACCAGCGGCGGCCAUCUCCAUCACCGCAUCAUGAUUCCGUCUCGGAGCAGCAGCGGAGGCGAUGUCCCGGCAUCCUCUUUCCCAACCGUCGAGGAGGACUGCCGCGGCUCUUUCCAUGGGGGCCUCCGAGAUGUUGACCGGGUUCUUGCACCGGCGGCUGCCUGAGAGGGACGCCCAGAGAUUCAUGGCCUUGAAUUGGACCAUCACCAGCAUCUGAUCCUCUUCGUGGUGGCCAUGAGGUAGGGCGUCGUCGAGACCCAGUCCCGCAAGUUGCAGUUCACCUGAUUCGAUUGGUUCUUUAUUAUUUUGUACACAAGCAGACACGUUCCCAUGAUGAAGUUGAGUAUGCAUGCACAAGCCUCACCUUACGUGAGAGGAAUUGUGUACCAUAUGGUGUGGAUACGACUCAAGGGUCACUAUAUCUGUUGGUUAUGUAAGUGCAUAUGGACUACAAAAGGUGAACUCACAUGAGGUCUUUUGCUCUUCCCUGUUCUGCAGCUAUUUUUCCAGGUUUUUUUGGUAAUGUUAACAUCCAUGAAAUGGCAGCAAGAUGCAUGUUAAUGGUACUCUUAACCACAUAUUUAUUUUAGAUUGUUAAGCUUUUGGUAAAUGAAGGGGAGCCUUGGCGCAGUGGUAAAGCUGCUGCCUUGUGACCAUGAGGUCAUGGGUUCAAGUCCUGGAAACAGCCUCUUACAGAAAUGUAGGGAAAGGUUGCGUACUAUAGACCCAAAGUGGUCGGACCCUUCCCUAGACCCUGCGCAAGCGGGAGCUAAACCUGCAAAUAAGUUAUACGUGGACAUGUAUUUCGAUGUACAAACUCCCCACUAAUAGUGCCUUUUUUUAAGCUUUUGGUAAAUGUUGCUCACCUCCUCCCCACUAAUAGUGUGUUUUCUAGAGCUAUAUCAGUUAAUACAAACCUGCAAAUAAGUUAUACGUGGACAUGUAUUUCGAUGUACAAACUCCAUCAUAUUAACUACUAAUGUGACAAUCCCUGAACUAAUGCUGCCUUCAUAUACUGAAACUAAUGGAAGGAAGUUGUCUUCAGUUUUUUCUCAUACCACCUAAGUUUCUCAGCAUUCACAAGAUGAGGAUUGCUGGGGUGUGCCCUUUUAGCUGAAUUUUUCACUACUAUGUAAAGUAUUAUACAUCACAUACACAAGUGCAAUAAUGUAAAAAACGCUUCUGCUGGUAGACUAAACAUACACAAGUGCAAUAAUGCCUGCAAGGGCAUCAAGUAGAUUAGAGGAUCUACGUCCAAGAGGUUGCCAUGUCUAGAAAGGUGUGCUUCAGGUUUCUAGGUAAAACUUUGUGUCUUUGUGUUUCCAAUCACUACGCAGAUGAUGUAUCUCUUGCCUUUUCAGUAUUCAUCGACACUUAUAUGACCGUAUGAUUGAACAAGAGUUCUAGAUUAUCUUUAAUUUGUACCACUAUUUUUUGCUCAUUCUCUUGCAUUUUUUCCUGUUUACACAGCUCCAACAUCUCAUGUGAAAAAUAAGUAUUAUGUUGCAGCACCAAUUAAUUUUGUGGAGCUUUUACCUAUCAUUAGCACCAUGGUUCAGCCUCUUGUGAAUUUAUCAACCUGCAUUUAUGGUUCAGCGGCACCCUUUCUCAUUGCUUCAUGUAAAGAUCCGCUAGCUAUAGUAUGGAUAUUAUCAAGUUACUGUCAGCUGUCCUUAGCUUUACUUCCAAUAGUUGAAUGGAGGAAGGUGGAAGUAGUACUCUCACCUUCCUCUAUUUCACAAGCUGUGACGUAACUGAAUGUGCGAUUGUUUUCCUUCUAAUGCAUUCUGUCUUACUGAACUAAUAUUUUUUUAUAUGAUCACACAUGUAUCCUUUCUAUGAACACAAAUUCAAGUACUCCCUCCGUACGAAAAUACUUGUCUUAGAAAUGGAUAAAAUGGAAGAAUCUAUAACUAAAAUAAGUCUAGAUACAACCAUUUCUAGGACAAGUAUUUCCGAACGGAGGGAGUACAUGAUAGCAUUGAAAUUUUUUUUUCUGCUGCUUAGUGGCGUUGGAUCUGAACUGCAGCUUACUGAACCUGAUGGAACGAAGCCGCUCUGGCAGAGCUGUAAUGUUGUGGCUGUUUUGAGAUUCAUAGGUCUAAGGAGGAUAGAUGAGGAGGGAAAGGAUUUCGAGCUGUGAGUUGCAACACUCAACCGUAGCAAAACCAUUUGUAGUUUCAGUGUAAGACUGAAUUCUGAUGAUGCUUGGCUCUAUUGAAGCCUUAAAAAGGCAAAAAGGGUUAGAUCUAUUGAGAUUUGAGCUUUUCUUAUUAAAAAAAAGAUGUGUUCCAAAAUUAUUCCGAGUUCCUAGAGAACUCUCCGAGAGCUACUCAUUUUGCUUUUGGUGUUUCGCUGUGACUAUCACUAUACUACCAAUAUAAAUUCAAAUUGGAUCUGAUUAUUGUUUA